GCCUAACACAUGCAAGUCGAACGAGAAAGUGGAGCAAUCCAUGAGUAAAGUGGCGACCGGGUGAGUAACACGUGACUAACCUACCCUCGAGUGGGGAAUAACUCCGGGAAACCGGGGCUAAUACCGCAUAACAUCGCAAGAUCAAAGCAGCAAUGCGCUUGAGGAGGGGGUCGCGGCUGAUUAGCUAGUUGGCGGGGUAACGGCCCACCAAGGCGAAGAUCGGUAUCCGGCCUGAGAGGGCGCACGGACACACUGGAACUGAAACACGGUCCAGACUCCUACGGGAGGCAGCAGUGGGGAAUUUUGCGCAAUGGGGGAAACCCUGACGCAGCAACGCCGCGUGGAGGAUGAAGCCCUUUGGGGCGUAAACUCCUUUCGACUCGGACGAUAAUGACGGUACGAGUGGAAGAAGCACCGGCUAACUCUGUGCCAGCAGCCGCGGUAAUACAGAGGGUGCGAGCGUUGUUCGGAAUUAUUGGGCGUAAAGGGCGCGUANGCGGUGCGGUAAGUCACCUGUGAAAUCUCCUGGCUUAACUGGGAGCCUGCAGGCGAAACUACCGUGCUGGAGUGUGGGAGAGGUGCGUGGAAUUCCCGGUGUAGCGGUGA
rnacentral:rRNA from 1 species